rnacentral:rRNA from 1 species
UACGUAGGGGGCAAGCGUUGUCCGGAAUCAUUGGGCGUAAAGAGCGUGUAGGCGGUUCGGUAAGUCGGCUGUGAAAGUCCAGGGCUCAACCCUGGGAUGCCGGUCGAUACUGCCGGACUAGAGUCCGGAAGGGGCGAGUGGAAUUCCUGGUGUAGCGGUGAAAUGCGCAGAUAUCAGGAGGAACACCAAUGGCGAAGGCAGCUCGCUGGGACGUGACUGACGCUGAGACGCGAAAGCGUGGGAGCAAACAGG